GUGCUCACUUUGGCAGCACAUACACCAAAAUUGGAAUAAUACAGAGAAGUUAGCAUGGCCCCUGAGCAAAGAUGACAUACAAAUUUGUUAAGUGCCUCACACUAUU
rnacentral:snRNA from 1 species